AGAGUUUGAUCCUGGCUCAGAACRAACGCUGGCGGCGUGCCUAACACAUGCAAGUCGAACGGAUUUGAGGGGCUUGCUCCUCAAGUUAGUGGCGCACGGGUGAGUAACGYGUAGAUAAUCUGCCUGAUGAUCCGGGAUAACACUUCGAAAGGGGUGCUAAUACCGGAUAAGCCCACGGGGUCUUUGGAUUCUGCGGGAAAAGGGGGGGACCUUCGGGCCUUCUGUCAUCAGAUGAGUCUGCGUACCAUUAGCUAGUUGGUAGGGUAAUGGCCUACCAAGGCUACGAUGGUUAGCUGGUUUGAGAGAAUGAUCAGCCACACUGGAACUGAGACACGGUCCAGACUCCUACGGGAGGCAGCAGUGGGGAAUUUUGCGCAAUGGGCGAAAGCCUGACGCAGCAACGCCGCGUGAGUGAUGAAGGCUUUCGGGUCGUAAAGCUCUGUCGAGGGGAAAGAAGUGUAUUGUGGCUAAUAUCCGCGAUACUUGACGGUACCCCUAAAGGAAG
rnacentral:rRNA from 1 species